CUUCCAUGAACCUUCAGAAAUGGGAGGGCUUUGAGAUGAGUUACUGGGCUAAAACCAUCAAUAGGAAGGCACUGAUGAGCAGCAGCAGCCAGCUUUAUGUCACCAGCAUACUUCCCUAAAGACUGAGAUUUUGGUUCUAGCUCAACAUAUGGACCUCAGAACGAAGAGGUGACGUGAUUGAUCUCUCUCCCCCCACCUCACAGCAUGUUGCUGACUUCUGCACAGCCCAGCUGAAGAUGGGCAGGCAGCUCCUGGAAGGACACACGAUGCCCUUUCUUCUUCUGAAUGUUGGCUUGCUGUGGGGCUCUGGAGAAAUAACUGAGCUGAGGAGGGGGACAGCGCUGGUGCUUAGAUCUCUAAGGUGUGAUCUCCUGCCUCUAUCCGAGACAGCUCAGGAAUCCAUAUGGUCCUGCCAAGGCAAAGGUCUUCAGCUCCUCACAGAUCUCUCCUCCUCUUGCUGCGGGCAGAAAGCUGGGUAGUGUUUUUGGACUUUGCUGCUUCAAACUUGUAAAACUUGUAUAGCAACUGUGAACUAAAACUCAAAUGAUACUCUAGCAAAACAAGCCUAUGCUCCUCCAGCACCUGCUCGUCUUGCAAGGAUGGGAAGGGAAAAUGGAUGGGUUUUGAGUUGUUUGAGGCACUUCAGGAGAACGCUGGGGUUAUGCAAUUGUAGUGGUGCACUGUCCUCACUGGAAGAAG
ensembl:lncRNA